GUAGUCCACGCCGUAAACGAUGGGUACUAGGUGUGUGGGGAGCGACCCCCUGGGUGCCGGCGCUAACGCAUGAAGUACCCCGACGGGGGAGUACGGCCGCAAGGCUGAAACUCAAAGGAAUUGACGGGGGCCCGCACAAGCGGUGGAGCAUGUGGUUUAAUUCGACGCAACGCGAAGAACCUUACCUAGGCUUGACAUGCUGGAGAAAGCUUGCGGAAACGUGAGCCCCUCUUCGGAGUUCCAGCACAGAUGCUGCAUGGCUGUCGUCAGCUCGUGUCGUGAGAUGUUGGGUUAAGUCCCGCAACGAGCGCAACCCUCACUCUUAGUUACCAGCGGGUAAAGCCGGGGACUCUAGGGGGACUGCCGGUGCCAAACCGGAGGAAGGUGGGGAUGACGUCAAGUCAUCAUGGCUCUUACGUCUAGGGCUACACACGUGCUACAAUGGGCCGGACAGAGGGUCGCCAACUCGCGAGAGUGAGCCAAUCCCCAAACCGGUCCUCAGUUCGGAUUGUAGUCUGCAACUCGACUACAUGAAGCUGGAAUCGCUAGUAAUCGUGGAUCAGCUACGCCACGGUGAAUA
rnacentral:rRNA from 1 species